rnacentral:rRNA from 1 species
UUACCAGUUUUACCCUAGGACGCUCCUUGCGGUUACGUACUUCAGGUACCCCCGGCUUUCAUGGCUUGACGGGCGGUGUGUACAAGGCCCGGGAACGUAUUCACCGCGCCAUGGCUGAUGCGCGAUUACUAGCGAAUCCAGCUUCACGAAGUCGGGUUGCAGACUUCGAUCCGAACUGAGAGAGGCUUUUGGGAUUAGCAUCCUGUCACCAGGUAGCUGCCUUCUGUACCCCCCAUUGUAACACGUGUGUAGCCCCGGACGUAAGGGCCGUGCUGAUUUGACGUCAUCCCCACCUUCCUCACAUCUUACGACGGCAGUCUCUCUAGAGUCCUCAGCAUGACCUGUUAGUAACUAAAGAUAAGGGUUGCGCUCGUUAUGGCACUUAAGCCGACACCUCACGGCACGAGCUGACGACAACCAUGCAGCACCUUCACAUUUGCCUUGCGGCUAACCUGUUUCCAGAUUAUUCAAAUGCAAUUUAAGCCCGGGUAAGGUUCCUCGCGUAUCAUCGAAUUAAACCACAUGUUCCUCCGCUUGUGCGGGCCCCCGUCAAUUCCUUUGAGUUUCACCGUUGCCGGCGUACUCCCCAGGUGGAAUACUUAAUGCUUUCGCUUGGCCGCUUACUGUAUAUCGCAAACAGCGAGUAUUCAUCGUUUACUGUGUGGACUACCAGGGUAUCUAAUCCUGUUUGAUACCCACACUUUCGAGCAUCAGUGUCAGUUGCAGUCCAGUGAGCUGCCUUCGCAAUCGGAGUUCUUCGUGAUAUCUAAGCAUUUCACCGCUACACCACGAAUUCCGCCCACCUCUACUGUACUCAAGACAGCCAGUAUCAACUGCAAUUUUACGGUUGAGCCGCAAACUUUCACAACUGACUUAACUGUCCACCUACGCUCCCUUUAAACCCAAUAAAUCCGGAUAACGCUCGGAUCCUCCGUAUUACCGCGGCUGCUGGCACGGAGUUAGCCGAUCCUUAUUCAUAUGGUACAUACAAAAUUCCACACGUGGAAAACUUUAUUCCCAUAUAAAAGAAGUUUACAACCCAUAGGGCAGUCAUCCUUCACGCUACUUGGCUGGUUCAGGCCUGCGCCCAUUGACCAAUAUUCCUCACUGCUGCCUCCCGUAGGAGUUUGGACCGUGUCUCAGUUCCAAUGUGGGGGACCUUCCUCUCAGAACCCCUAUCCAUCGAAGGUUUGGUGAGCCGUUACCUCACCAACUGCCUAAUGGAACGCAUCCC